rnacentral:misc_RNA from 1 species
GAAUCAGGAUGCAUAUGCUUCCACUUUUCCAAGGACAUACAAGAUUCAAAAUCCCCCGGAGUUACUUCAUCAGGUGGAGAAAAUGAUUCUAGAUUUGGACAUUCCUUGAUCACGAGACUCUUUAACCUGGGGAAAGACUCUAGCAGGAAGUACUUGAAUACAUUGCAGCCAGUGACAGUGAUUUCUUCAAAGGUAUUGAAAACACCAUGCAAAUGCUCCUUGUGGAUUUCUCCCAGUAAGUCCAAUUUGUCAACUUGAAGACUGUGC